CCUACGGGUGGCUGCAGUCGGGAAUUUUGCUCAAUGGGCGCAAGCCUGAAGCAGCAACGCCGCGUGAGGGAUGAAGGCCUUCGGGUCGUAAACCUCUUUUGCCGAGGACGAUAAUGACGGUACUCGGUGAAUACGCCACGGCUAACUACGUGCCAGCAGCCGCGGUAAUACGUAGGUGGCAAGCGUUGUCCGGAUUUACUGGGCGUAAAGAGCGCGCAGGCGGUCGUAUAAGUCGAAUGUGAAAGCCCCCGGAUCAACUGGGGAGAGUCAGUGGAUACUGUUCGACUCGAAGGCAGGAGAGGGAAGUGGAAUUCCGGGUGUAGUGGUGAAAUGCGUAGAUAGCCGGAGGAACACCAGUGGCGAAGGCGACUUUCUGGCCUGUUCUUGACGCUGAGGCGCGAAAGCUAGGGGAGCAAACGGGAUUAGAUACCCGUGUAGUC
rnacentral:rRNA from 1 species